CCUACGGGGGGCAGCAGUGAGGAAUAUUGGUCAAUGGACGAGAGUCUGAACCAGCCAAGUAGCGUGAAGGAUGACUGCCCUAUGGGUUGUAAACUUCUUUUAUAUGGGAAUAAAAUGUUCCACGUGUGGGAUUUUGUAUGUACCAUAUGAAUAAGGAUCGGCUAACUCCGUGCCAGCAGCCGCGGUAAUACGGAGGAUCCGAGCGUUAUCCGGAUUUAUUGGGUUUAAAGGGAGCGUAGGUGGAUUGUUAAGUCAGCUGUGAAAGUUUGCGGCUCAACCGUAAAAUUGCAGUUGAAACUGGCAGUCUUGAGUACAGUAGAGGUGGGCGGAAUUCGUGGUGUAGCGGUGAAAUGCUUAGAUAUCACGAAGAACUCCGAUUGCGAAGGCAGUUCACUGGACUGCAACUGACACUGAGGCUCGAAAGUGUGGGUAUCAAACAGGAUUAGAUACCCCAGUAGUC
rnacentral:rRNA from 1 species